ACACAUAAGCUUGACAGUAAUGAUUGGCCAUCAGUAACAAAUUAUAAUGUAUCGGCUGUAGGAGCGAAAGGGAGGAUAUUAAUGACGGUGAUGAACACAUACGAACACAUAGGUACCAUGUUGAUGUCUAGAUGAUCAGAAGUAAAGCAAGGGACAGAGGUAGAAGGUUCAAUAUACAAGAGCACGAUAUACAUGGAUUAUAUUUAUAAGCGAUAGGCGCGAUCGUUGACGAUACGCCUUAUCUUGCGUCUGAAGUAGAAGGCCCAGAUGUCACCCUCAUGUAUGUUUGUGAUGACGGAACUGACCAGUUCGUUGUGAUGGUGGUCCUCUUGUCAUUUCCUGUGAUGGCGAGACAUGACGGAGACCUUGCCGUCUGCAAGCUUGAUUGGCAAUGCAUCAUGUUCUAGGUUAAUGCACUCCUGGAGGUACUUCUCUGUGUAGUGAACCUCAAAGUAGUAUGAGAAUGAUCGUCCGUGACAAUUUGAUUUUAGAACAUCCUCGGUAAGAAAUGUGUCCGUAUAUUAAAAAUUCCUCAUAAAUGAGAUCAGAAAAUAUAUGUAAGAUUUGUUAAGAACAAAGGACUCUAAGGGAAGUGAUGCACAUACUGUACUAUUCAGGAACGCUGUAGUUUGAAGAACCUAGCGCUGGAUUUAUUGAAGACAAAAUAAUCAUGAGGAAUGCAUAGCAAAGAAAAUAAUAUCUUACAAGAAUAACAAAGAAAACAAAUAGUUUGCUAUCUGUGAAAUAACAGUCCAGUUAAUGUGUUAAGUAAAGAUAUCAUAAAGGUUCCAGGCAUGUUUUGAACCUGUGUGCGCACUUGUAUUGCUGGAGCGCCUCGAUGCGUCUUAUGCAUUUUGACACGGGUUCACACACAUUCAUUCUCAAGUUAUUUGUUUUCUUCUAUAAAGGGGAUGGAAGCUUUGGCCUAAUUAACAAAAGCAAGCUUUACUGAGCAAGACAGAAAAAUAAAAUAAGAUGAUGACAUAAAAUGACACCUCAUUUUCCAUGCUAGCCAUGCCAUGCAAGCACUACUGGUCCAGUCCCUGAGCAUCGGGGCAGAGUCAGCACAUCGCGCUCGGCCCACCAGCAGCUGCGCACCACCAAAGGAAGUCACAUGUAAAUGCACAGGCAAGAACAUACAGGGGAGGGAGGCUGACCUCGGGUCGAUUUCCUCCUACGGCAGCGCCCUUCAAUCUUUUCUAUGCACAUUAAGGUGACUGGUUGGGUCCCUAAUCUCAGCUUGGUUAUUAUGCACAUUGGCAUGUGUCUGGUACACUGGGUCAUGUAUGCCAUCAUUAGCAUAGUUCAGUAGGCAAAAUCGAUUUUGCUGACUGAAUCAUAUGAAAUUAUCAUAUGUUAAUGACUCAGAACCAUUAGUUGAGAACAGAAGAUGUCAUUACAAGUAGGGGAACAACUAAUCAAGAUGAGUAUAUGGCAAAGCACUUGAGGUUGCGAUCGACUCAAGGAGUCAAGGUCGCUGCGCCUUCACUUCGAGGACGAUGCCAAACCCCCAACACCCCCAGGCCAACAUUGAGAAAGCCUAAAUGUUUAGACUUCAGUUUCAUAUAUUCAGAGAAAAAGGACCUGAGUUCUACUUUUCCUGGAUGCUCAGGGGAGUAUGCAUACAUCAUGGAGAGGGCUAUGGUAUGGCCUAGCUCCUCUGUAUUGUUUCUAAUGUUACUAUUUUCUCUCUCACUGUUAAGGGUACACCCUCUGUCUCCAUACGACUUGUAGACCAACCUUGCUUUCUUAUACUUAGGACUGCAUAAUUCUCACUUACUUUUUGUAUGAAACAUACAGUAUGCACAAGGUCCAGUUACUAAAUUAAAGUUAUUUAUUUUUACCAAUCAGAUUGCUGCAAGCCAUUUACCCUUAGCAUCCAGUUCUUUAGUUCUUGGGGCGCCACCCGGUAGCGCCUCCUGAGAGGAAGCUAAGCAGUGUCAGGUGGGAUGCGCCCUUUUCACUUCCCUGUUUGUACUAUGUUGUGUUAUUGCAUAAAACUAAGUACAACAAUAUGAACACAAGCAGACGUAGGGGGCAGAGUGAGCUUUCAGAUGACCAAGGGUGUAUCUGGAUUAAUAAUUGCCUAUAUAGAGCAUAUAUACAACCCAGUACCAAGACUACAUAGAAUAUAUUGCUAUGCAAUCUAUUUGGUGGCAGCGGAUAAUUUAGGCACGGAAAUGACACAUAAAAAAAUUAAUCCACCUGUGUUCAUAAAAAAAUAUAAUCUUCAAUACUGCUGCCCCAAAACGCCUCUCUCUUGGUACGACAUUAUUCAGGCAAAGAAGAAGGGAGUGCACAUGUUUGUAGGUUAUGCCCUGUAAAGCCUGUUGAAACUUGCAGAUUUAGUUGAACACUCAGUGGUUGCCAUUGAUGCUUUCACAGAUGGCUGUGAAACUUUGAAUGUCACUGCUUCACCAUUAGUCAUGAAGACAACACUCAAUUCCUCACUGAAAAAUACAAAAGGUACAUUGUCAAAUUCCUAGCGGUUGACCCGCCUUAUUUGUUUAUUUCCAGGGCUUGUUGAGCUGUGCCCUCAGCAAAACAUUUUGUACUGUGUGUUGUGUGACUUUGUUUGCGUGUGUGGGUGAACCUUGUUGUACCAUCUGGCUAUGGUGGUUUGAUUUAUCUAUAAAGCGGGGCGAAAGCCUUUUUCGGUAAAUUCCUAGAUUUAGUUCAGAAAAUUGCAGACAUUCAGCAAAAGAAGCAUCAUUUUUAUUUUCACCAGAGUCUGACGCAGUUGUCAACACUGUAAAUUUUUGUUAUAAAAGCAUGGCACUGACACAGCUGCUAGUUUAAGUGUGGCAAACUAUUCUUCCAUCAUCGCCUUUGUGCAGGAUUAGAAUAGUGCGAUUUCCUCGGGCGAAGAGUAGACCGUUAGUUGUGAGAAACAACCUUAUCCAUACCCUUUUUAUGCUACUCUUUCCUAUCUUCACACCGACAUCAUAACCGUGAACAUCUGAUCUGAGCACUGUAGGUGUUCAAUCCAUCUAACAGCCUAUUUGCUGGACCAGUUCUAAAAUUGGCAUGGUGUUUGUUGUUCCUGUCUGGAUUAGUGCAUAUCAAAUGACAGCAAGGAGCACAAUUAAGUUCACUUGAGUUUAUGGUGCACAACACAACAUAUCUGAUUUCACAUUAAUCUUCAUACCAGAACACACCACAAUCUUGCUCAAAACUUCAUACAACAGAAACAUAGAAACGAAAUGCAAGCAGAACCAACUGAAGUGCCAAGAAUGGUGCUGAAAAUCGUACCUGGACUGCAGAGACAACACACUGAGCAGAUGAAACGGCGAACCAAACUCGAUGAUCAACUGACCGGUGCAAUUUCUGAGAAAAGAAACAAAAAUCCAGGUCAUCAUAUGAAGGAGACAUAAAAACACCUGAUGAGUGUGAAUGAACCGAUAUAGGUAGGAAUCCAAGAACAACACACAAACACACGAUGAUGGGCGGAGCACAGAAACAUGAACAAGACCAGCAAUCGAUGAACAACCAGAAAUUUGGUACUCACAUAACAACCACUUGCUAACAUACAACAUACACGAGCAGUAAGCAUGGCAGCAACACAUCCAGAAAAGAAAAGAACACCUUGGCUUAAUGGAGGGAGGAUUACCUCCAUGGUAGCCUACAAGCAGAGCAUAGUAGUGGUUGGACUGAGGUGGAAGGACAAACAGGCGAGGACAGCGAUGCGCGCAUAUAUGAAGGAGAUGGUAAACAAUAGAGCGAUUAGGUCCAAAUCAUGAGCAGUAGAUGCUAAUUAAGC
rnacentral:lncRNA from 1 species